rnacentral:rRNA from 1 species
UACAGAGAUGGCAAGCGUUGUUCGGAAUUACUGGGCGUAAAGGGCGCGUAGGCGGCCAUCUAAGUCAGACGUGAAAUCCCCCGGCUUAACCGGGGAACUGCGUCUGAUACUGGAUGGCUUGAGUUCGGGAGAGGGAUGCGGAAUUCCAGGUGUAGCGGUGAAAUGCGUAGAUAUCUGGAGGAACACCGGUGGCGAAGGCGGCAUCCUGGACCGAUACUGACGCUGAGGAGCGAAAGCCAGGGGAGCAAACGGG